rnacentral:rRNA from 1 species
GAGAGUUUGAUCCUGGCUCAGGACGAACGCUGGCGGCGUGCCUAAUACAUGCAAGUAGAACGCUGAAGAAAGGAGCUUGCUUCUUUUGGAUGAGUUGCGAACGGGUGAGUAACGCGUAGGUAACCUGCCUUGUAGCGGGGGAUAACUAUUGGAAACGAUAGCUAAUACCGCAUAACAGCUUUUGACACAUGUUAGAAGCUUGAAAGAUGCAAUUGCAUCACUACGAGAUGGACCUGCGUUGUAUUAGCUAGUAGGUAGGGUAACGGCCUACCUAGGCGACGAUACAUAGCCGACCUGAGAGGGUGAUCGGCCACACUGGGACUGAGACACGGCCCAGACUCCUACGGGAGGCAGCAGUAGGGAAUCUUCGGCAAUGGGGGCAACCCUGACCGAGCAACGCCGCGUGAGUGAAGAAGGUUUUCGGAUCGUAAAGCUCUGUUGUAAGAGAAGAAUGUGUGUGAGAGUGGAAAGUUCACACAGUGACGGUAACUUACCAGAAAGGACGGCUAACUA